rnacentral:rRNA from 1 species
UACGAAGUUAGCCGGGGCUUAUUCUUCCGGUACCGUCAUUAUCGUCCCGGACAAAAGAGCUUUACAACCCUAGGGCCUUCAUCACUCACGCGGCAUGGCUGGAUCAGGCUUGCGCCCAUUGUCCAAUAUUCCCCACUGCUGCCUCCCGUAGGAGUCUGGGCCGUGUCUCAGUCCCAGUGUGGCUGAUCAUCCUCUCAGACCAGCUACUGAUCGUCGCCUUGGUAGGCCAUUACCCCACCAACUAGCUAAUCAGACGCGGGCCGAUCCUUCGGCGAUAAAUCUUUCUCCUCUCGGACGUAUCCGGUAUUAGCUCAAGUUUCCCUGAGUUAUUCCGAACCGAAGGGCACGUUCCCACGCGUUACUCACCCGUCUGCCACUGUCCCCGAAGGAACCGUUCGACUUGCAUGUGUUGGGCCUGCCGCCAGCGUUCGCUCUGAGCCAGGAUCAAACUC